GACGAACGCUGGCGGCGUGCUUAACACAUGCAAGUCGAACGGAAAGGCCUCUUUCGGGGGGUACUCGAGUGGCGAACGGGUGAGUAACACGUGAGUAACCUGCCCUUGACUUUGGGAUAACUUCAGGAAACUGGGGCUAAUACCGGAUAGGAGCUCCUGCUGCAUGGUGGGGGUUGGAAAGUUUCGGCGGUUGGGGAUGGACUCGCGGCUUAUCAGCUUGUUGGUGGGGUAGUGGCUUACCAAGGCUUUGACGGGUAGCCGGCCUGAGAGGGUGACCGGCCACAUUGGGACUGAGAUACGGCCCAGACUCCUACGGGAGGCAGCAGUGGGGAAUAUUGCACAAUGGGUGGAAGCCUGAUGCAGCAACGCCGUGUGCGGGAUGACGGCCUUCGGGUUGUGAACCGCUUUCGCUCAUGACGAAGCUUUGUGUGACGGUAGUGGGUAAAGAAGCACCGGCUAACUACGUG
rnacentral:rRNA from 1 species